rnacentral:rRNA from 1 species
UAAGCGGAGGAAAAGAAACUAACANGGAUUCCCCUAGUAACUGCGAGUGAAGCGGGAAAAGCUCAAAUUUAAAAUCUGGUGGUCUUUGGCCAUCCGAGUUGUAAUUUAGAGAAGCGUCUUCCGCGCUGGACCGUGCACAAGUCUCCUGGAAUGGAGCAUCAUAGAGGGUGAGAAUCCCGUCUUUGACAUGGACUGCCUGCAUGUCGUGGUGCGCUCUCGAAGAGUCGAGUUGUUUGGGAAUGCAGCUCAAAAUGGGUGGUAAAUGCCAUCUAAAGCUAAAUAUUGGCGAGAGACCGAUAGCGAACAAGUACCGUGAGGGAAAGAUGAAAAGAACUUUGGAAAGAGAGUUAAACAGUACGUGAAAUUGCUGAAAGGGAAACGCUUGAAGUCAGUCGCGUUGGCUAGAAAUCAGCCUUGCUUUUGCUUGGUGUACUUUCUUGUUGACGGGUCAGCAUCAGUUUUGAUCACUGGAUAAGGAUUUUGGGAAUGUGGCAUCUUUGGAUGUGUUAUAGCCCAUUGUCGCAUACGGUGGUCAGGAUUGAGGAACUCAGCACGCCGCAAGGCCGGGUCUUUGGAUCACGUUCGUGCUUAGGAUGCUGGCAUAAUGGCUUUAAUCGACC